GCUCCUGUAACUCAGUCGGUAAGAGUGGCGUCCUUAUAAGACGCUGGCCGCGGGUUCAAGUCCCGCCAGGAGCACGA
rnacentral:tRNA from 2 species